rnacentral:piRNA from 1 species
UGAGGCCUUGUCCACAGGUCUUGUGGAUGG